rnacentral:rRNA from 1 species
AGCAGUCGCCACGGUAAUACGGAGGGAGCUAGCGUUGUUCGGAAUUACUGGGCGUAAAGCGCGCGUAGGCGGUUACUCAAGUCAGAGGUGAAAGCCCGGGGCUCAACCCCGGAACUGCCUUUGAAACUAGGUGACUAGAAUCUUGGAGAGGUCAGUGGAAUUCCGAGUGUAGAGGUGAAAUUCGUAGAUAUUCGGAAGAACACCAGUGGCGAAGGCGACUGACUGGACAAGUAUUGACGCUGAGGUGCGAAAGCGUGGGGAGCAAACAGGAUUAGAUACCCGCGUAGUCCCUGUCUCUUAUAA